CUCUCUGCCUUCAGGUCGGCGUCGAAUGAACCUGUCGAGCCGAUCUCGUCUGAUGAGCUCCUCGAUCUCAUCCCGGAGCUGAAUGCACUCCUCUAUAUCAUGGCCGUGGUCACGAUGGUAGAGGCAGAACUUGUUAGGAUUGCGCUUCCCAGGGUGUGUGCGCAUCCUUUCCGGCCUUGGCAGCUGCUCCCUGACCUCCAUCAGCACUUGGGUUUUCGAUGCAUUGAGAGGGGCAUAGUUGCGGAACCUUCCUGGUGGAGAACCCCGCCGAACUUUGCGGUCCGGACUUCUCUGCCUGC
rnacentral:lncRNA from 1 species